rnacentral:rRNA from 1 species
CGCACGGGUGCGUAACGGUAUAGAACCUACCUUUUACAGAGGAAUAGCCUUUAGAAAUGAAGAUUAAUGCCUCAUGGUAUUGUAGACUGGCAUCAGUUUAUAAUUAAAGAUUUAUCGGUAAAAGAUGGCUAUGCGUCCUAUUAGUUAGUUGGUAAGGUAACGGCUUACCAAGACAGCGAUAGGUAGGGGUCCUGAGAGGGAGAUCCCCCACACUGGUACUGAGACACGGACCAGACUCCUACGGGAGGCAGCAGUGAGGAAUAUUGGACAAUGGAGGAGACUCUGAUCCAGCCAUGCCGCGUGUAGGAAGAAUGCCCUAUGGGUUGUAAACUACUUUUAUACAGGAAGAAACACUGGUAUGUAUA